GACGUGCUAAUCUGCGAUAAGCGUCGGUGAGGUGAUAUGAACCGUUAUAACCGGCGAUUUCCGAAUGGGGAAACCCAGUGUGUUUCGACACACUAUCAUUAACUGAAUCCAUAGGUUAAUGAGGCGAACCGGGGGAACUGAAACAUCUAAGUACCCCGAGGAAAAGAAAUCAACCGAGAUUCCCCCAGUAGCGGCGAGCGAACGGGGAGGAGCCCAGAGCCUGAAUCAGUGUGUGUGUUAGUGGAAGCGUCUGGAAAGGCGCGCGAUACAGGGUGACAGCCCCGUACACAAAAAUGCACAUAUUGUGAGCUCGAUGAGUAGGGCGGGACACGUGGUAUCCUGUCUGAAUAUGGGGGGACCAUCCUCCAAGGCUAAAUACUCCUGACUGACCGAUAGUGAACCAGUACCGUGAGGGAAAGGCGAAAAGAACCCCGGCGAGGGGAGUGAAAAAGAACCUGAAACCGUGUACGUACAAGCAGUGGGAGCCUCUUAAUGGGGUGACUGCGUACCUUUUGUAUAAUGGGUCAGCGACUUAUAUUCUGUAGCAAGGUUAACCGAAUAGGGGAGCCGAAGGGAAACCGAGUCUUAACUGGGCGUUAAGUUGCAGGGUAUAGACCCGAAACCCGGUGAUCUAGCCAUGGGCAGGUUGAAGGUUGGGUAACACUAACUGGAGGACCGAACCGACUAAUGUUGAAAAAUUAGCGGAUGACUUGUGGCUGGGGGUGAAAGGCCAAUCAAACCGGGAGAUAGCUGGUUCUCCCCGAAAGCUAUUUAGGUAGCGCCUCGUGAAUUCAUCUCCGGGGGUAGAGCACUGUUUCGGCAAGGGGGUCAUCCCGACUUACCAACCCGAUGCAAACUGCGAAUACCGGAGAAUGUUAUCACGGGAGACACACGGCGGGUGCUAACGUCCGUCGUGAAGAGGGAAACAACCCAGACCGCCAGCUAAGGUCCCAAAGUCAUGGUUAAGUGGGAAACGAUGUGGGAAGGCCCAGACAGCCAGGAUGUUGGCUUAGAAGCAGCCAUCAUUUAAAGAAAGCGUAAUAGCUCACUGGUCGAGUCGGCCUGCGCGGAAGAUGUAACGGGGCUAAACCAUG
rnacentral:rRNA from 1 species